CUAGCGUUGUUCGGAAUUACUGGGCGUAAAGCGCCCGUAGGCGGACUAUUAAGUCAGUGGUGAAAUCCCGGGGCUCAACCCCGGAACUGCCUUUGAUACUGGUAGUCUCGAGUCCGGAAGAGGUGAGUGGAAUUCCGAGUGUAGAGGUGAAAUUCGUAGAUAUUCGGAGGAACACCAGUGGCGAAGGCGGCUCACUGGUCCGGUACUGACGCUGAGGUGCGAAAGCGUGGGGAGCAAACAGG
rnacentral:rRNA from 1 species